rnacentral:rRNA from 1 species
CCUACGGGUGGCAGCAGUGAGGAAUAUUGGUCAAUGGCCGUAAGGCUGAACCAGCCAAGUCGCGUGAAGGAGGAAGGAUCUAUGGUUUGUAAACUUCUUUUAUAGGGGAAUAAAGGUAUCCACGUGUGGAUGUUUGCAUGUACCCUAUGAAUAAGCAUCGGCUAACUCCGUGCCAGCAGCCGCGGUAAUACGGAGGAUGCGAGCGUUAUCCGGAUUUAUUGGGUUUAAAGGGUGCGGAGGUUGUUUUUUAAGUCAGCGGUGAAAGUUUGGGGCUCAACCAUGAAAUCGCCGUUGAAACUGGCAGACUUGAGGGUGUUUGAGGUAGGCGGAAUGCGUGGUGUAGCGGUGAAAUGCAUAGAUAUCACGCAGAACUCCGAUUGCGAAGGCAGCUUACUAAGCCAUAACUGACACUGAAGCACGAAAGCGUGGGGAUCAAACAGGAUUAGAUACCCCGGUAGUC